GCUCCUUCUUCGGCAACGGCAGUCGGCAUGGAGCAGUUUGACUUGCUAGUUCAGCAGGUCAGGGGCCUCACCGAAGCAGUGCAGGCCAUGCAACAGCAGCCGCAGGCAUCAGUGCGGCUGGAAAGAGCAUCGUCGGAGUUCCAGAAUCUGAUGACUGGGCGGGCCACUUGGGCAAGUCGCCCUAUCUUCUCCGGAAAGGAGAAGUAGAAGGCGGAGAGCCCACCAUCCGAUCACAAUUCCACCCCCAGAGAGUCCCUACCUCCGUUCCACCAGAAGACCCUCGAGACUCGCAGUCGAGAGGACCUCCUGGAUCAAAGAUUCUGAGAGAUGAACCGAUGGAU
rnacentral:lncRNA from 1 species